rnacentral:snoRNA from 1 species
CCCGCCACUGCACCUGACCAGUUUGCUGUUGGCUGGUGCAAUCCAGUGGUGAGCUGAUACUAACCCCAGCUUAGGAAACAGUGUUGUUCUUCAUGUGGAUGACUCUGUGCCGAAAGCAUGGGAACAGGU